UACUUCCCAGGCGGAGUACUUAAUGCGUUAGCUGCGGCACCGAGGGGGGUAACCCCCGACACCUAGUACUCAUCGUUUACGGCGUGGACUACCAGGGUAUCUAAUCCUGUUCGCUCCCCACGCUUUCGUGCCUCAGCGUCAGUUACAGUCCAGAAAGCCGCCUUCGCAACUGGUGUUCCUCCCAAUAUCUACGCAUUUCACCGCUACACUGGGAAUUCCACUUUCCUCUCCUGCACUCAAGUCCUACAGUUUCAAAGGCUUACUACGGUUGAGCCGUAGCCUUUCACCUCUGACUUGCAAGACCGCCUACGCACCCUUUACGCCCAGUAAUUCCGGAUAACGCUAGCCCCCUACGUAUUACCGCGGCUGCUGGCACGUAGUUAGCCGGGGCUUCCUCCUCAAGUACCGUCAAUAUUCUUCCUUGAGGACAGAGCUUUACGAUCCGAAGACCUUCAUCGCUCACGCGGCGUUGCUGCAUCAGGCUUUCGCCCAU
rnacentral:rRNA from 1 species